AACGAACGCUGGCGGCAGGCUUAACACAUGCAAGUCGAACGGGUGUAGCAAUACAUCAGUGGCAGAUGGGUGAGUAACACGUGGGAACCUUCCUAGGGGUACGGAACAACUCAGGGAAAUUUGAGCUAAUACCGUAUACGUCCGUGAGGAGAAAGAUUUAUCGCCCUUAGACGGGCCCGCGUCGGAUUAGCUAGUUGGUGGGGUAACGGCCUACCAAGGCGACGAUCCGUAGCUGAUCUUAGAGGAUGAUCAGCCACACUGGGACUGAGACACGGCCCAGACUCCUACGGGAGGCAGCAGUGGGGAAUCUUGGACAAUGGGCGCAAGCCUGAUCCAGCCAUGCCGCGUGAGUGAAGAAGGUCUUCGGAUUGUAAAGCUCUUUUGCCAGGGACGAUAAUGACGGUACCUGGAGAAUAAGCCCCGGCAAACUUCGUGCCAGCCGCCGCCGUAA
rnacentral:rRNA from 1 species